GUACUCCAUCUGUUCCAAAUUGUAAGUCGUUUUGGCUUUCUUAAAUACAUAGUUUUUACUAUGCAUAUAGACACAGUGCAUAUGUUUUUUUGCAUAGCAAAAGCUAUGUACCCAGGAAAGCCAAAACAACUUACAGUUUGGAACGGAGGGAGUAC
rnacentral:pre_miRNA from 1 species